GGAUUCCUUUUCUUUUCUGCCUGCCUUCUCUUUGGAGUCGGGAGGCAGCUUUCCUGAACCUUUCUGUAUGCAGGACCUACAUUUACUAGCCCGCCCCAUGAAGCCCAGGCAAGACCAUGCUACACUUUGCAAAACAAUUUAGGGGAAAUUUGCUAAUAUUUUAAAACUCAUGCGGUAAACUCCCAUGACACCCCAGACAAGCGGCAGAAGUUCUGUUUGGUGCAAGCGGCAAAAAACCCACAACCUAUUGGUGUUUACAUGUGUAUUCAGCCAUGAAAUUGAAUAUUAUCAGAGUUUAAAAAUGCAAAUCAAAUUAAAAGCAGAGAAAAUUGCCUUUGGAAUUAUAGUACCCAGGAGCUCCAGAGUGUUUGCUUAAAUAGAAGCACUGUUAAAAACAAAACAAAACAAAAACCCCCAAAACGGACAGGGUUUAAACUGCCCUCUCACUGUUGUCUCCCACUUCCAUGGACUCAUUGUUUAGUUCUACCUGGAAAUAACGUUCACGCAGAGGUACAAACCGUCCACCAUUAACAACAAAUCACGCUUUGUUUCCCCAAAACAUUUCUUUUCUUAAAUAUCAAAUUGCCCUCCUUUAGCCAUGAGUCCGCGUCCCUAAAAUCAGGCCUCCUUCUGCAUCCCCAAUUCGCACUUAGAGCUUAGCUAAGCUGAGCUGAGCCGCGGUUUAGGUCACCCAGGAAGCAUUCAAGGUGCAUGGCUGGUGAGGGGACUGGAGCUUUAGAAACCGCGCAAGCACUGGGCGAGCCAGGAACUGUGUACUGGUGAGCAGAGCCGCCCGCGGCCCCAGUCGUUUCCAUCUCGCGGACCGCUAGCUGCAGAGCUGAGCCAAGGUUUCCGAGAGUCCGCGCGGGCCCAGGUACAAUGCUUCUCCCCCUCUGCUCUCAUAGAGGGACACUGCAGGGCCAAACGAAAAGAGAAAAGCCCGCCAAGUAUUGGGGGAGGGGAGGGGUAAAUAGAAAACCCUGAGAAGCCAGGAAAGCAGGUGAGAGGGGUGACCUUUGGCCCCGUGAUCCAAGUUCUAGAAUGUGGGGAUCCCACCCUUGACAGCCUGAUAGCCAGCCAGGAGGGGGCCAGACCUACUCCACUGUCCCCACAGUGGGCACAACACUUUACUUCUCUCCCACCCCUCCCCCAAGUCUGUGAGUCUCUGGGAAAAACCAAGCUUGGAUGUCUGCUUCAGAUGCCAAGGUCAGCAGAAUUCAGAGACAGCUUUGGGCCAAGUGUGAGCCAGACCAAGGUAGCUACAUCCACCUGGGUUCUAGACGAGGGUUGUGAGGACCCUCACAGUGGCCAGGCUGUGCUAGGGUAGGGUAAGAAAACCUUUUUGCUAUUUGGUGAGCUCUGAGGAUCUUCGUUUCGCACUUGUCCACACAUUCUGGGCCCAAGCAGCCUUGGCUCUAGAUUAGAGUCUCUAAUGACAAUCUUUUUCUCCUCUAGAGAGCAGGACAGUUUGGAGGCCUGUGCGUCAUUCCUUCCUCCCUCCAGCCUAUCUUAGACCUGGUGAUUUGUAGGAUCAGCCCCCGACCACAUUACUGGAUGAUAAUUCCUGUCCUGCUGUGGGCAGCAGAGGAAGCCGGGUUUUACUUGAAACCUGCCAGUCUAUUUCUUUUUCAGGAACCCCACCGGUGCAGAACCGUGCCACUGCACCCAUAAGACAGCCCGAGGCUCCUGGCAGACCCUACUGGGAAUUACACAGCAAGAUGGCUUUCCCUACUCCAUCGUGGCUAGAGCCUCUGCAAGGGCUGAAGCCCUUUGAUCUUGGCUUCAUUUGGAUACAUUUCAAGGGUGAGCACUGACAAAGAGGACAAGCCAGACUGAAGUCAUAUGGCCUUACAGCUCUGCCUUCAAAGGCAUGUGGGCUCCCCUCCACCACAUUGCUGACCCCUCAUUACAGGAAGUGGGAGUGUAAACUCUACCUCUUCCUUAUGUCCUGUCGGAGGUGGAGCACAGAGCUCUGACUCCAUGCAUAACACACACUCUACCACUGAGAUACAUCCCAAGGCAAUUGACAUUGGAUUGUUGGUGUCUCAUUGUGUGAUGUUGACUUAGGACAUUAUAGGAUCUAUGCAAGCAUCUUUCUGUAUCGUUUUUUUUUUCCUUGCCCAGUAAUGUUCACUGUGUAGAAUACACAAUGAUAAUGCUAAUGACCCAAACACCAAGGGACCUGAGUCUCUGAGCCACCACUUGGGAGAUACCCAUUCAAUUUUUAUUGACCACCAUGAUGUACUACUUAAAGGUUUAGUGUUUUGGUCCUCUAAUAUUUGGUGGCUACUGUCCAAGUAGGAACUUAC
rnacentral:lncRNA from 1 species